GGAGUACAGGUGGUGGCAUGGUUGUCGUCAGCUCGUGCCGUGAGGUGUUGGGUUAAGUCCCGCAACGAGCGCAACCCUCAUUGUUAGUUACUACCAUUCAGUUGAGGACUCUAAUGAGACUGCCAACGACAAGUUGGAGGAAGGUGGGGAUGACGUCAAAUCAUCAUGCCCUUUAUGACCUGGGCUACAAACGUACUACAAUGGCCAAUACAAAGAGAUGCGAAGCGGUGACGUGGAGCGAACCUCAGAAAGUUGGUCUCAGUUCAGAUUGAAGUCUGCAACUCGACUUCAUGAAGGCGGAAUCGCUAGUAAUCGCGGGUCAGCAGACCGCGGUGAAUACGUUCCCGGGUUU
rnacentral:rRNA from 1 species